rnacentral:misc_RNA from 1 species
GGAUCAUUAUCGGUCUUCUCGCUCGCAGCGGUACCAAACGUUGUGUAGGCAAGAAACUGACGUCUCGAAAAUAUGUCCAUUCGUCGAACGGGAGGGCCCGCAUGAAGCGCCGCCUCUCAACCGACUGUCCGUUCCCUUUUUUUUCUGGGGUACCUACAGAGUCCUAGGUGCGAUCCACGGUGACGGUUUGAGUUUUACUCGCCGGAUCGCUAGGUUUAAAGAACGCUGCGAAGAUUUUGCUGGUCUUCGUGUGUCCUAAUAUUGCGUCGCCCCAGAAGUUAAACUUCGUCUCGUCUGUCAAUCUAUCAAAGUCGUUGGGGGCACCUAUGCACCAAAACUGCUCGUUCAGUGUCUUACGGUGCGGUAGCUCUUCUCAGCAGAGGCCGCGAGGUUCAAAGAGGUCGGCGUGCUUGUUUUGCCGGUCCGCCCCUCGACUGAUACAUAUUUUUUUUCAUCGCUUCGCAAAAAACGUGCUUUUGAAAGUUGCUUGUCAUAUCAAGCAAGUUGUAAAUACGGACG